UUUUAGCGACCGAUUUGAAUUUGGUCGCUAAAAUAAUAAAAAAAUAAUUAUUUUUAAUACAUUUAGCGACCAAAUUCAAAUCGGUCGCUAAAAAAU
rnacentral:pre_miRNA from 1 species